rnacentral:lncRNA from 1 species
ACCCCAAAAUGUCCCAUAAAUGUGUCCCCAAAGUGUCCCCAAAAUGUGACCCCAAAAUGUGACCCCAAAUGUCCCCAAAUUGUCCCAAACUGUCCCCAAAAUGUGACCCCAAAAUUGUGUCCCUGAAGUGACCCCAAAAUGUCCCAUAAAUGUGUCCCCAAACUGUCCCCAAAAUUGUGACCCCAAGUGUCCCCAAAUUGACCCCAUAUGUCCCCAAAAUGUGACCCCAAAAAUGUGUCCCCAAAUGUCCCCAUAAGUGUGUCCCCAAAAUGUGUCCCCAAAGGGACCUUUGAGAGCUGUGUCCCAAAAUGUCCCCAAAAUUGUGUCCCCAAAUUGUCCCAAAAUGUGACCCCAAAUGUCCCCAAAAUGUGACCCCAAAUGUCCCCAAAAUGUGUCCCCAAAGUGUGUCCCCAAAGUGCCCCAAAGUGUGACCCCAAAUGUCCCCAAAGUGACACGGGGACAUUGGAUGGGGACACUGGGAUAUGGGGUAUGGGGACAUCAUUGGGAUAUGGGGACAUUGGGGUAUGGGGACAUUGGCUAUGGGAUUUGGGGACACUGGGAUAUGGGAUGGGGACAUCACUGGGAUAUUGGGGUAUGGGGACAUUGGGAUAUGGGAUGGGGACAUGGGGACAUCGGGAUGGGGACAUCAUUGGGACAUUGGGAUAUGGGGACAUUGGGAUAUGGGGACAUUGGGAUAUGGGGACAUUGGGUGGGGGCACCAUUGGGAUUUGGGAUGGGGAGACAUGGGAUAUGGGGNNNNNNNNNNNNNNNNNNNNNNNNNNNNNNNNNNNNNNNNNNNNNNNNNNNNNNNNNNNNNNNNNNNNNNNNNNNNNNNNNNNNNNNNNNNNNNNUUGAAUGGGGACAUCGGGCUAUGGGAUUUGGGGACAUUGGGAUAUGGGAUGGGGACAUGGGGACAUUGGGAUGGGGACAUCAUUGGGACAUUGGGAUAUGGGGACAUUGGGGUAUUGGGGACAUUGGGUGGGGACAUCAUUGGGAUUUGGGGACAUGGGGAUAUGGGGACAUUGGGAUAUGGGAUGGGGACAUCUUUAGGAUAUGGGAUGGGGACAUGGGGACAUCGGGGUGGGGACUUUUGGUUACGGGGACAUUGGCUGGGGACAUUGGGAUGGGGACAUCAUUGGGAUAUGGGAUGGGAACACGGGGAUAUGGGGACGUCAUUGGGAUUUGGGGACAUUAUUGGGAUAUGGGGACAUUGGGAUAUGGGGACAUUAUUGGGAUUUGGGGACGUCACUGGGAUUUGGGGACAUUGGGAUAUGGGGACAUCAUUGGGAUUUGGGGACAUCACUGGGAUUUGGAGAUGUCAUUGGGAUUUGGGGACAUUGGGAUAUGGGGACAUCAUUGGGAUUUGGGGACAUCAUUGGGAUUUGGGGACGUCAUUGGGAUAUGGGGACAUUGGGAUAUGGGGACAUUAUUGGGAUAUGGGGAUAUUGGGAUAUGGAGACAUCAGUGGGAUUUGGGGACAUCAUUGGGAUUUGGGGACGUCAUUGGGAUUUGGGGACAUUAUUGGGAUUUGGGGACAUUGGGAUAUGGGGACAUCAGUGGGAUUUGGGGACAUCAUUGGGAUAUGGGGACAUUAUUGGGAUAUGGGGACAUUGGGAUAUGGGGACAUUAUUGGGAUUUGGGGACGUCAUUGGGAUUUGGGGACAUCACUGGGAUAUGGGGACAUCAUUGGGAUUUGGGGACGUCAUUGGGAUUUGGGGACAUCACUGGGAUUUGGGGGCAUUAUUGGGAUAUGGGGACGUCAUUGGGAUUUUGGGGCAUCACUGGGAUUUGGGGACACGGGGACAGGAAGGGGACAAACUGGGGUGGCUGACGGGUGGGUGGUGCUGGCGGUGCCAUCAUGUCGGCGCCGUCCCCCCCCCGGAUCCCCCGGCCAACAGCAGAGGGAGGAGAGCAGGGGUGGCACCAGUGUCACCGUUGUCACCGUUGUUGUGACCCUCGUUGUCACCGUCGUCGUCACCGUCAUCGUCACCGUCCCGUGCCGGGCGCAGCACGCGGUUGUGCAGACGGCUGUAGCGGCGUGCGCACAGACUGCGGGGUGACAACGGGUGACACCAUUGGGUGACACCACUGGGUGACACCUCCGGGUGACAGCUCUGGGUGACACAAUGGGUGACAGCAUUGGGUGACGCCGUUGAGUGACACCUCUGGGUGACACCACUGGGUGACAACUCCGGGUGACAGCACUGGGUGAUGCCAUUGGGUGACACAAUGGGUGACACCAUUGGGUGAUACCAUUGGGUGACACCACUGGGUGACACUGUUUCAUGACAACUCCAGGUGACACCACUGAGUGACAACUCUGGGUGACACCAUUGGGUGAUGCCAUUGGGUGACACAAUGGGUGACACCUCUGGGUGACACCAUUGAGUGACACCUCUGACUGACAUCACUGGGUGACGCCAUUGGGUGACACAAUGGGUGACACCACUGGGUGACAGCUCUGGGUGACAGCACUGGGUGACACCAUUGGGUGGCAAAAUGGGUGACAUCUCUGGGUGACACCACUGGGUGACACAAUGGUGACAUCGUUGGGUGACGCCAUUGGGUGACGCUUCUGAGUGACACCACUGGGUGACACCACCAGGUGAUGGCCCUGUCCCAGUCCUCCCAGUUCUCCCAGUUCAUCCCAGUCCUCCCAAUCCUCCCAGUCCAUCCCAGUCCCUCCCAGUCCAGCCCAGUC